GGUCAGCUGACACAUCCCGGCCAAUCUCCAACAGACCCUCCCUCCCAGACCCUCCUACUUCCUGGACAGCAUCCAUGUUGAAGGCAGCUUCAACAUGGAUGCUGUCCAGGAGGUGGGAGGGUCUGGGAGGGAGGGUCUGCUGGAGAUUGGCCUGGAUGUGUCAGCUGA